rnacentral:lncRNA from 1 species
AAAAUGGAUAUUUUAUUUUUCUAUUUUGUACGUGGAAAGGGUAAUAUAAAUUAGGAAGUGGGCCUGUCACAUGGGCGGCAGGGUGAAAUCGACAGUAGACCGUAAGAAAUUAUUGUAGACCGAAAAUUAUUAGGUGAAAUGCCCUAAUUUCAAGUGUAUAUAAACCACAAGACUUCCCCAAACUUUUCUUCGUCGGCUCACAAGGUAAAAAUCCAGUCUCUGGUUUUUCUUAUUUUGGUUUAAAUAAAUGUAGAGGGAGAAGAAGAGGAAGAAGACAAUGCACAGUUAGUGAGGCACGGUGAGCAAAUUGCAUGAUCGAUUUGCCUAAUCUUAAAAGUGCAAGAAUGAAAAAUAGGGAUCUGCUUUGCAGCAUAUAACUUUCAUCUCAUGUUUUUGCUGCCUGUAAUGCCCUAAUAUUUCUCCAUUUUCCUUCUCUUUCUUUUUUCAUUUUUUUUUAUCUUUUCAUUUGGCUGCCGAUUUCAAAUACUUGCAUUUGUAGGGAGUUUUCUUCGUUUAUCUUUUCAUUCACUUGUGUGUGUGUGUGUGUAUGUAUAUAUAUACAAGAAAAAGUUUAAUUUUAAUUUUGAUUUAAACGUAUUAGACUCUUUUGUUUGCAAUUUGUGAAUACUUGGAGUGGCCUUAAGAAAAUACAAUGUAUGGAAAUUGAUGAUAAAUCCAAUAGACUAUUGUAACGGCCCCGAAAUUUUGAAAUGAAAUAUGUGUAUUAAAAAUGUCAAAUGCGGAAGCGGAAUAAAAAUUUGAUUAACAUCCCUUACACUAAAACCAAAAACGUGCUCAAAGUAUAAAAGAACAAACUAACUAAAAGAGAAACUCGUAAAUAAAAUGUAUAAAUAUAACUACGGAGUCUUCAGGCGUCCCCUUCGCC